rnacentral:rRNA from 1 species
UACAGAGGUCCCAAGCGUUGUUCGGAUUCACUGGGCUUAAAGGGCGCGUAGGCGGGCGGUCAAGUCGGGGGUGAAAUACUUCAGCUUAACUGGAGAAGUGCCUUCGAUACUGGUGGGCUUGAGGGAGGUAGGGGUCUGUGGAACUUCUGGUGGAGCGGUGAAAUGCGUUGAUAUCAGAAGGAACGCCGGUGGCGAAAGCGACGGACUGGACCUCUUCUGACGCUGAGGCGCGAAAGCUAGGGGAGCAAACGGG